GACCGGUUCAAGUGCAGUGGUGUUUACAACUAAUUGAUCACAGCCAGUGACAAAUUACUUUGUCCCUUUCUCAUUCCCACUGCUUCACUUGACUAGCUUUAA
rnacentral:Y_RNA from 1 species